CAGUCGCCGCGGUAAAACGUAGGUGGCAAGCGUUGUCCGGAAUUAUUGGGCGUAAAGGGCUCGCAGGCGGUUUCUUAAGUCUGAUGUGAAAGCCCCCGGCUCAACCGGGGAGGGUCAUUGGAAACUGGGAAACUUGAGUGCAGAAGAGGAGAGUGGAAUUCCACGUGUAGCGGUGAAAUGCGUAGAGAUGUGGAGGAACAUCAGUGGCGAAGGCGACUCUCUGGUCUGUAACUGACGCUGAGGAGCGAAAGCGUGGGGAGCGAACAGGAUUAGAUACCCCAGUAGUCCCUGUCUCUUAUAC
rnacentral:rRNA from 1 species